rnacentral:rRNA from 1 species
GACGAACGCUGGCGGCGUGCCUAAUACAUGCAAGUUGAGCUCUGAAGGUUGGUACUUGUACCGACUGGAUGAGCAGCGAACGGGUGAGUAACGCGUGGGGAAUCUGCCUUUGAGCGGGGGACAACAUUUGGAAACGAAUGCUAAUACCGCAUAAAAACUUUAAACACAAGUUUUAAGUUUGAAAGAUGCAAUUGCAUCACUCAAAGAUGAUCCCGCGUUGUAUUAGCUAGUUGGUGAGGUAAAGGCUCACCAAGGCGAUGAUACAUAGCCGACCUGAGAGGGUGAUCGGCCACAUUGGGACUGAGACACGGCCCAAACUCCUACGGGAGGCAGCAGUAGGGAAUCUUCGGCAAUGGACGAAAGUCUGACCGAGCAACGCCGCGUGAGUGAAGAAGGUUUUCGGAUCGUAAAACUCUGUUGGUAGAGAAGAACGUUGGUGAGAGUGGAAAGCUCAUCAAGUGACGGUAACUACCCAGAAAGGGACGGCUAACUACGUG